CCCCACAGGCUCUCAUGUGCUCUCCUUCACCAGACCUAAUGGGUGUCUGCAAGAAAAUCUGUGGACAGUUCCAAAGCCAAUGUGCUCCCUUCACUGAUAUGUAAGGACCCUGUUUUCUGGAAUAUUCUCUCAUAUUAACAAAAAAGCUUGGUUGAGGAUCUGGUACCAGUUGACAGCUACCUUCGUCAAAGAUGAGAAGCAGAGAGAAGAGAAAUGAAAUAUGCCUUCUCUUGAGGAAGAGCCAGGAACGGCUCCAUGCCCCAACAGACAGGAUGGAAGUCCACAGAUGGCAAAGUUUCUCCCUCAUGACACCAGACUCAUUAUACAGCACAUUGUGACUGCAGAGAGAAGAAGGGAGCUCUUAAGAUGUAGACAGACCACAGAUACAGUUCCAGAAGGAAGAACUAUGGGAAGGGACAGAGACAAUACAUCAAGAGCUGGUGAGCAGACAUCUUCCAAAGUGAAUGGAGAAUAAAAUCCACAAAGCCAAGAAGCUCAAAGAACCCUCAGAGGAGUAAAUUACAUGCAUACAUACAUAUGUACAGAGAGAGAGAGAGAGAGAGAGAGAGAGAGAGAGAGAGAGAGAACUACAAAAACAAAAAUAACCCAACUGAAACAAAUACUAGAAA